rnacentral:lncRNA from 1 species
CCUACCAGCAGACCGACUACCACCACGCCCCAGUGCUGACCGGAUCCCGCACCUACGUGCACCACAGCCGCCCGGGCUACGUCGCCGAGCGCACCAAGACCUACGUCCUCUGAACAUGCCACGAGGCCAAAAUAUUAC